AAAAGUAUGAUGUAGUUGGUCACACUGUGUUCACAGUUAUGAAGCAGAAUGAUAUGGAUGCUGGUGCUUUGCUUAAUUCCCACGUUUUAUUCAAGUUGGGAGCCCAGUCCAUAGAAUGGUACCACCUAUAUUUAGAGUGAGUCUUCCUCCUCAGUUAAACUUUUAGGGAAACAGCCUCACAGUCAUGCUAAGAGCAGGCACUACCAAAGAAAAUUAUUUUAUUUCUGCAUUUCCUCCAUGCCUACUGAACCCACAAAGCACAAGCUACUGAAGAUUUCACACUAAGAUGUGGAUGCCCGAGCCACACUUUCCUUGGGCAGGAAUAGAUGAGAACGCAUGGUUGAAGAUGGCAUAAUGAACAGGGACACUGACUCUACAUAGAAGCAGAAGAAAAGAA